UAGCUAGUUGGUGAGGUAAAGGCUUACCAAGGCGACGAUCUGUAGCGGGUCUGAGAGGAUGAUCCGCCACACUGGAACUGAGACACGGUCCAGACUCCUACGGGAGGCAGCAGUGGGGAAUUUUGGACAAUGGGGGCAACCCUGAUCCAGCCAUGCCGCGUGAGUGAAGAAGGCCUUCGGGUUGUAAAGCUCUUUCGGCCGGGAAGAAAUCGCAUGGGCCAAUACCCUGUGUGGAUGACGGUACCGGAAUAAGAAGCACCGGCUAACUACGUGCCAGCAGCCGCGGUAAUACGUAGGGUGCGAGCGUUAAUCGGAAUUACUGGGCGUAAAGCGUGCGCAGGCGGUUUUGUAAGACAGGCGUGAAAUCCCCGGGCUUAACCUGGGAACUGCGUUUGUGACUGCAAGGCUAGAGUACGGCAGAGGGGGGUGGAAUUCCACGUGUAGCAGUGAAAUGCGUAGAGAUGUGGAGGAACACCAACGGCGAAGGCAGCCCCCUGGGUCGAUACUGACGCUCAUGCACGAAAGCGUGGGUAGCAAACAGGAUUAGAUACCCUGGUAGUCCACGCCCUAAACUAUGUCAACUAGGUGUUGGGUGGGUAAAACCAUUUAGUACCGUAGCUAACGCGUGAAGUUGACCGCCUGGGGAGUACGGCCGCAAGGUUAAAACUCAAAGGAAUUGACGGGGACCCGCACAAGCGGUGGAUGAUGUGGAUUAAUUCGAUGCAACGCGAAAAACCUUACCUACCCUUGACAUGCCAGGAACUUGCCAGAGAUGGCUUGGUGCCCGAAAGGGAGCCUGGACACAGGUGCUGCAUGGCUGUCGUCAGCUCGUGUCGUGAGAUUUGGGUUAAGUCCCGCAACGAGCGCAACCCUUGUCGUUAAUUGCCAUCAUUUAGUUGGGCACUUUAACGAGACUGCCGGUGACAAACCGGAGGAAGGUGGGGAUGACGUCAAGUCCUCAUGGCCCUUAUGGGUAGGGCUUCACACGUCAUACAAUGGUCGGUACAAAGGGUUGCCAAGCCGCGAGGCGGAGCCAAUCCCAGAAAGCCGAUCGUAGUCCGGAUUGCAGGCUGCAACUCGCCUGCAUGAAGUCGGAAUCGCUAGUAAUCGUGGAUCAGCAUGUCGCGGUGAAUACGUUCCCGGGUCUUGUACACACCGCCCGUCACACCAUGGGAGCGGGUUCCGCCAGAAGUAGGUAGCCUAACCGCAAGGGGGGCGCUUACCACGGCGGGGUUCGUGACUGGGGUGAAGUCGGAACAAGGUAGCCGUAGGGGAACCUGCGGCUG
rnacentral:rRNA from 1 species